rnacentral:rRNA from 1 species
AUUGAACGCUGGCGGCAGGCCUAACACAUGCAAGUCGAGCGUGCGGCGGACGGGAGAGUAAUGCCUGGGAAUUGCCCUGUCGAGGGGGAUAAAAGUUGGAAACGACUGCUAAUACCGCAUACGAUCGGAUUGCCCAGGUGGGAUUAGCUAGUUGGUGAGGUAAUGGCUCACCAAGGCGACGACCCCUAGCUGGUCUGAGAGGAUGAUCAGCAGCACUGAAACUGAGACACGGUCCAGAGUCCUACGGGAGGCAGCAGUGGGGAAUAUUGCACAAUGGGUGAAACCAUGAUGCAGCCAUGCCGCGUGUGUGAAGAAGGCCUUCGGGUUGUAAAGCACUUUCAGCGAGGAGGCGUUACUCGCAGAAGAAGCACCGGCAAACUCCGUGCCAGCAGCCGCGGUAAUAC